rnacentral:rRNA from 1 species
UACGUAGGGUGCGAGCGUUGUCCGGAAUUACUGGGCGUAAAGAGCUCGUAGGUGGUUUGUCGCGUUGUUCGUGAAAACCGGGGGCUUAACCCUCGGCGUGCGGGCGAUACGGGCAGACUGGAGUACUGCAGGGGAGACUGGAAUUCCUGGUGUAGCGGUGGAAUGCGCAGAUAUCAGGAAGAACACCCGUGGCUAAGGCGGCUCUCUAGUACGGUACUGACGCUGAGACGCGAAAGCGUGGGGAGCGAACAGG